rnacentral:rRNA from 1 species
AUUGAACGCUGGCGGCAGGCCUAACACAUGCAAGUCGAGCGGAUGAAGGGAGCUUGCUCCUGGAUUCAGCGGCGGACGGGUGAGUAAUGCCUAGGAAUCUGCCUGGUAGUGGGGGAUAACGUCCGGAAACGGGCGCUAAUACCGCAUACGUCCUGAGGGAGAAAGUGGGGGAUCUUCGGACCUCACGCUAUCAGAUGAGCCUAGGUCGGAUUAGCUAGUUGGUGGGGUAAAGGCCUACCAAGGCGACGAUCCGUAACUGGUCUGAGAGGAUGAUCAGUCACACUGGAACUGAGACACGGUCCAGACUCCUACGGGAGGCAGCAGUGGGGAAUAUUGGACAAAGGGCGAAAGCCUGAUGCAGCCAUGCCGCGUGUGUGAAGAAGGUCUUCGGAUUGUAAAGCACUUUAAGUUGGGAGGAAGGGCAGUAAGUUAAUACCUUGCUGUUUUGACGUUACCAACAGAAUAAGCACCGGCUAACUUCGUG